rnacentral:lncRNA from 1 species
UCAGUUUUUUAAAAUUCCAUGAAUGAAAAACCAUGAAUAUUUUAGAAAACAUUCAGGUUAUAGAAGUGGCCACAUUUGUUGAUUUCUUAAAUAAAGCUGAAGUUCUCUGUCCGUUGCUAUAUGGUAAGCCCUAGGGCUCAAUUCAGAUAAGUGUACUGUGUUUCACUGCCAAAAAAAACAUCCGUUUUCUUCUACAGUCACCAUAAACCAACAACCCUAGAAAAACCUGCUUUGUUGUCCUGAAGGAGCUGUUAUUGUUCAGAAUAUUUUACAUGUGAAUUUCUGCUCCAGCUGGCUGGGGACCAUCAUGACAAGGGAAUGUGAUCAAGAAGACAAACACAUAGAUAUCAUGAAGAAAAGAAAACGGAAGAUACCAAUAUACUUUAUUCUGAGCCAAGGCAAAGUCCAUCUGACAACAGCAGAUUGGACAAUAACUGAAAAUGUAGUCUGUAAGGAAGCUUAAUAAUAAGAUAUACAUCUCUUUAUAUUUCACUAAAUGGCUAAAGAAUGCGGAAAACUUAUGUUUAUACAAAAACCAGCAGACUGACAUUUAUAGCAGCUUUAUCCAUAACUGUCAACAUUUGGAAGCAACCAAGAUGUCCUUUAGCAGGUGAAUUGAUAAAUAAAACUGUGGCACAUCCAGACAAGGGAAUAUUAUUCAGCACUAAAAAUAAAGGAGCUAUCAAGCCAGGAAAAAACAAGGAGGAAACUCACAUGCAUAUUGCUAAGUAAAAGAAGCCAGCCUGGAAAAGCUGCAUACUGUAUGAUUCCAACUCUGUGACAUUCUGGAAAAGUAAAACCCUGGAGGCAGUAAAGAGAUCAGUGGUUGCCAGAAGUUAGGAGGAAAGGAGGGAUGAAUAGGCAGGGCACAGAGGAUUUUUAGGGCAGUGAAACUACUCUGUGUGGUCCUGUAAUGGUGGUUUAAUGUCAUUAUGCAUUUGGCCACACCCAUAGAAUGUACACCACCAAGAGUGAACUCUAAUGUAAACUGUGGACUUUGGGUGAUAAUGAUGUGUCAGUGUGGGUUCAAUUGUAACAAAUGUGCCACUCUGGUGGGGGAUGGUGAUAAUGCGGAGCUGUGCACGUGGGGUGGGCAGGGGCAUGCGGGAAAUCUCUGUCCCUUCCUCUCAAUUUUGCAGUAAACUUUAAAGCUCUUAAAAAGUAAGUAUUUUUUAAACAAGAAAGAAACAAGGUGAACUAAAUGUACAGCUAGAUCUAACAUAAGGAAAUAAGAAUUGCUAUUAAUUUACAUAUAUUAACUAAUUAAUUGUGAACCUUUUUAAAAUACCAUUGUGAACUGUAAUGUAUUUUAUAUUCAAAUGAAUCCUCAGCCUUCUUCAUUGUAAAUAUUAGCUGAACAAAUGAGUAAAUAAAAAUCGACUUCAUAGAAAAUCAAGUGAGUCCGGUCAUAGCCAGAUAACAGUGUUUAACCCACAAAAGAUAUGCAAUUGUUCUUUAAAACAGUAAGAGGAUUAAUACAAAAUUAUUAAAGUUUAUAUUAAAGACAUAAAUGUAAUCUUUACAAAUAAUUUUCUUAUGGAUAAAUUAUGCUUACUGUAGUUAUUAGCCGGAACUUGCAAUAAUCUCCAUAUUAAGACAACCAAGACAACAAUUAGUUUGUUUUAAGGCACCUGCCAACUUAUAUACUAGAAAAUAAAAGUUUUCCAAGUGAAAAAACAGCUUUGCUCAGAAUUUAAAACACUCUACUGGAUAGCCUGCUUAACAGCACUAGGAAAACAAAAAUUCUAUGCAUCAAAAGAUGAAUGAAAAGAGAAACAAUAAACCAGGAUGAAGAUACAUACAAACCCAAUGGCUUCAUAUCUAGAAUACAUAAAGAACUCCCACAAAUCAAUAAGAAAAAGAGAAGCAGCCCAAUAGAAAAAUGGCAAAGUAUGUGAACACAGAAUCUAUGAAAGAGAAAAUUCAAAUACUCCAAAACAUUUUUAAAUAUGUUCAACCUCUGGCUGGGCACAGUGGCUCACGCCUAUAAUCCCAGCAAUUUGGGAGGCUAAGGCAAGUGGCUCUCUUGAGGCCAGCCUGGACAACAUGGCAAAACCCUGUCUCUGCUAAAAACACAAAAAUUAGCUGGGUGUGGUGGCACAUGCCUGUAAUCCCAGCUACUCAGGAGGCUGAGGCACAAGAAUCACUUAAGCAUGGGAGACCAAGGUUGCAGUGAGCUGAGAUCACACCACUGCACUCCAGCCUGGGCAACAGAGCAAGGCUUUGUCUCAAAAAAAAAAGUUUAACCUCAAAAUACUUACAGAGAUGCAAAUAAAACCAUUAGAUUUCAUACUUAUCAAAUUCAUUAAAGUUUUCCAAUUCUGGCAACACAUUAUUUUGGCAAGUAUAUGAAGUAACACAGCUGAUGGAACUAUAAACUUGUACAAUCGAUUUGGAGAAAAUUUGGGAAUAUAUAUAUAUAUAUAUAUAUCAGAUUUGAAACUACUCACAGCCUAUGACUCAGCAAUUCCAAACCUGAAGAAACUCCUGUCCACAUGCCCAAGAAGAUCUCUUUAAGAAUGUUCACAGCAUUAUUUAUUUCUAAAUAAUACAAAACUGAAAAUGUUACACAUGCUCCUUCAAGAAUAAAAUGUGUAAGCAAACUGUGAUGUAUUCAUAAAUAAAAAUAGUUAAAACAUGCAAACCAGAUAUCUGUAUCUAUCUAUAUUUUUAUCAGCAUGAAUAAAUGCCCAGAACAUAGCACUAAAAGAAAAAAGCAAGUUGGAAGGACAAAUACAGUUUAAUAAUACUUUUAUGAAGUUUUAAAUAUAUGCAAAAGAGCACCAUGAAUUGAUUAUUAAUGCAAACAUAUACUAUAAAAAUAUAAUGAUAUGUAUGAGAAUGAUAGACAUUAAAUUCAGGAAACUAAUGAUCUCAGCUUGGGAGGGAGGGGAACAGGGUAAGAGUGUGGGGGCUUUAACUGUACCUAUAAUGUUUUUUGUUUUUUGUUUUUUUAAGCUGGGUGGCUAGUUCUUCGGUGUUUAUUAAAUAUAUUCUUCAUAGUUUUUGUUUUCUUAAAAAUACUUCAUAAUUUAAAACUAAAAAUGGCAUCUGCCUCACAACCCCUAACAAGGCCUUUCCCAGUUUCCCAUUAACAUAAAGAUGC